rnacentral:rRNA from 1 species
CCUACGGGAGGCAGCAGUGAGGAAUAUUGGUCAAUGGACGAGAGUCUGAACCAGCCAAGUAGCGUGAAGGAUGACUGCCCUAUGGGUUGUAAACUUCUUUUAUAAAGGAAUAAAACGAGGCACGUGUGCCUUUUUGCAUGUACUUUAUGAAAAAGGCUCGACUAACUCCGUGCCAGCAGCCGCGGUAAUACGGAGGGUCCGAGCGUUAUACGGAUUUAUUGGGGUUAAAGGGAGCGUAGAUGGGUUGUUAAGUUAGUUGUGAAAGUUUGCGGCUCAACCGUAAAAUUGCAAUUGAAACUGGCAGUCUUGAGUACAGUUGAGGUAGGCGGGAUUCGGGGGG